GAAAUACCAAAGAUCGAAAAAAAUGGAUGAAUCCACAUACUGCUGGAAAAAGAGAAGGAAAGCCCCGAUGAGCUGUCAGCUAAAUAACUCUUUGUGGCUA